CGGAGGCGCAGCUCCGCCGUUCUGCCCUCCGUCUCCACCGAGGCCCAGACCGUGGCAUUCGCCGCCCCCUGCUCCGGGACGCCGACGUGCAGAGCAACAGGAGGAGGUGCGAGGCUUCCUAGCUGUAGUCCCGCCGGUCCAGCAGCUUCUCCCUCACAUCCCUUGCAGCUACCUUGGAGGGGCAACAGUUUCCAGACUGAAAGAUUGAGCGGGAGGAGCUGUUCUGCGUGCUGAUGGUUGGUGAACAUGUUGCACAUGCCCUGCUGCUCAGGCAUUCCAGCUGCCUGGGACCUAGACGACGACCCAAGCCUGAUGCAGCUGCAUGUCUUUAUUGAGUGCAGUUCUGCCAUAGUGAGCCCAAGGAGGUCGUGAAGGCGAGGAUGGGGUGUAGGAACAACGAGUUGCUCCACCUGGACAACGCUACUGCUGCUACUGGUGACCACUCCAACCGCCCACCACUCCGAGCUGCUGCUGCUGGAACAAAGACGGUGGGAGGAGCUGCACCUCUUGCUAGUGGGUUGCGACCAAGCCAUGCUCUUGCUCGUGCCGGCCCCGGACAAAGACCACCGCCGCCGACACGCUGUAAGCACCCCUGCCCUGGUAGCGACAGGAUGGCCAAAGGACUGAAAAAAGAAAGAAAUUAUCCUGCUGCGUGUGAGCAACAGACUCCACAAGGAUUGAUCAGUAUGAGGUGUUCGCACAGAUUGGGAAAUGAGCAUGGACAAGUAAGAGGUGUUGGAGCGGAUUGCUAAAGGAGAAUUUGACUCUGCUCUGUUAGUGAGGCACAAGGUAUGUGCUGAAGAAGAUCCAGCUUGCGCCACAAACUGACCGCAGUCACCGGUCUGCCUAGAAGGAGGUUAUUUAUGUCAUUCUUCAUACAAAACAUGUCGUGGUGGUUGUAGCGCCGGUGGCUCCAUUUUGGCAGGAAAGAUGGUGUCGGUAUCCUUCACCGCCGCCAAGUUCCUGGCGACGUCAGCUGUGUCGGUAUCCUUCACCUCAGCCGAAUUUAAGACACAUGUGCGGCAACUGGCUGACCAUUGCCUCAGCGUUGACACACAAGAAGAAGGGUUGACAAAGACCUACGCUGGACGUCAACAAGGACGUGCAGCCUACCCCAACUUGCUUGGGAAAAAGGCUUUGACAAUGUUGUUGUGGGCAGUGGUGGGUUCAGGAACGACGACUUGCUCCACUUGGACAACGCUGGGGACAAGAGCGGCCACGACAACUUGUAGUAAGGUUCACUGUCAUGUAUCUAAAGGUCUGCUCAUUUCUGCUGCAUUAGGCCAUGGAGCACCUCCUCCGCCGGCAGCAGCUUGUGGUGCGCUGGCUGCCAUGACGGAAACGGCAAGGAGCCAAGCAGCUGCAGCAGCCGAGGCACUGGAGAUGGAGGUCCUCCUCAAUGGCUUCA